rnacentral:misc_RNA from 1 species
AACGCACCUUGCGCUCCCUGGUAUUCCGGGGAGCACGCCUGUUCGAGCGUCAUAAAGUUAUCAAAUGGUUACCUUUUUUUCUCACAAGUGAGAAAGGUAGCUAUUUGGAUUUGGACUCUGCUGUUGUAACUAAUGGCUGGUCCGAAAGCUAUUAGCUGAUCCUAAUGAAGGACUUGGUUCUUACUUGGCGUGAUAAUUAUCAAACGUCGAGGACAUUACAAGUGCGUUUGUAAUGGCCAAGAAAAUCUAAUAGGAACGCUUUCUAAUGGUCUUGAUAGACAAAAUUUGUAUCAAAUCUGACCUCGAAUCAGGUGGGACUACCCGCUGAACUUAA